UACGGAGGGAGCUAGCGUUGUUCGGAAUUACUGGGCGUAAAGGGUGUGUAGGCGGUUGUUUAAGUUUGGUGUGAAAUCUCCCGGCUCAACUGGGAGGGUGCGCCGAAUACUGAGCGACUAGAGUGCGGGAGAGGAAAGUGGAAUUCCUGGUGUAGCGGUGAAAUGCGUUGAUAUCAGGAGGAACACCCAUGGCGAAGGCAGCAAACUGGGCUUCAUCUGACGCUGAUGACGCGGAAAGCGUGGGUAGCAAACAGG
rnacentral:rRNA from 1 species